rnacentral:rRNA from 3 species
ACGGGAGGCAGCAGUGGGGAAUAUUGGUCAAUGGGGGCAACCCUGAACCAGCGACGCCGCGUGAGUGAAGAAGUAUUUCGGUAUGUAAAGCUCUAUCAGCAGGGACGAUAAUGACGGUACCUGACUAAGAAGCCCCGGCUAACUACGUGCCAGCAGCCGCGGUAAUACGUAGGGGGCAAGCGUUAUCCGGAUUUACUGGGUGUAAAGGGAGCGUAGGUGGUCAGGUAAGUCAGAUGUGAAAGCACGGGGCUCAACCCCGUGACUGCAUUUGAAACUGCUUGACUAGAGUGCAGGAGGGGUAAGUGGAAUUCCUAGUGUAGCGGUGAAAUGCGUAGAUAUUAGGAGGAACACCAGUGGCGAAGGCGGCUUACUGGACUGUAACUGACACUGAGGCUCGAAAGCGUGGGUAGCAAACAGGAUUAGAUACCCUGGUA